UCACUGCUAUUAUUGUAAUAACUUUCUUCCUUACAUCCAGUCUGAAUCUUCCCUCUUUUAGUUUGAAUUUAUUUCCCUUGUUCUGCUGCUCAAUGGUCUGUCCUCUUCUUUUUUCUGUCUCCCCUUAAGAUACUGAAAGGCUGCUGUUCUGGUCUCCACAGAACCUUCUCUUCUCCAGGCUGAACAGCCCCAGCUCUGUCAGCCUGUCCUUGUAGGAGAGGUGUUCCAUCCCUUGGAUCAUUUUUGUGGCCCUCCUCUGGAUGCACUCCAGCAGCUCCACAUCUUUCCUAUACUGAGGACUCCACAUCUGGACUCAGUUAGCAGAUGACAAGGGUGAAUCAAAAGGUAAUGGACCGAGAGAAUGAAGAGC
ensembl:lncRNA